rnacentral:lncRNA from 1 species
AAUUCAAUGGGAUAUAAAUUUUGAUUAUAUCCGGAGUGAUUGUAUUUUAAAAUUUAAAUUUAAUAUAAUAUAUUUUAAAAUAUUAUAAAAAAAAAUAAUUAUUUUGAAUUCAGAUUUUUGAGUUCGAACUCGGGUUUGGAUAUGAAUUUUUAAAAUCCGUCGAAUUCAUAUUAGGUUCGAAUUUCGGAUUUGAUAAUUCAGUUCGGAUUCAGAUUUUUAAAAAUUCACCUCGAAUCCGGUCCGUUGACAUCCCUCAUUGAAUAGUUGUACUAUCAAAAAUAAUAAAAUAAAAUAUUUUUUAAAAAUUAAUAUUUGGUUGUA